UGUCUCCUGGACUCCUGGC
rnacentral:piRNA from 1 species